GCCAAUCAGCGGUCUACUUGCAUGAAUAUUUUUGAUGACCGGUAUAUGCCCACACCAUUCUGUUGUUAGGGUACGCCCAAACCAUUCCAACACAGAAAAGCUGCUUUAAGAAGUUUACAUACUUAAUUACAAAUUCACUCAUAUUGUAAUUAAUUACAGGUCAUAGUUGAAAGAAAUCUGGAAAAACUGGACAGUGACUUUAAAAGAGAAGCACAUCCUUUAUGUGUUAAAAAAGUGCCAUUGAUUAUUUAGAACAUGAGGUUCCUAUGUGACGUUCAUGUGUUCAUGACCGGAUAGGAACUCUGAUGUUUUAUCCACAGUAAGCUGGGAAGACGGUGUAGAGUACUGUACAAUUGAAUCAGGCUGCCAAUAUCAAACAUCAUCGUCAUGCCAACAAGUAACAGGGGAAUUUGGCAUUCCUUUGUGAAGAGCUCUUGUACCUAAGCAAACUAUCUGUGUGUACUGAGUGAUGAAAGGGGGAGUGCUUUUACCACAGUGACGAGAGAGAGACGGGUAGAGAAAGAAAGAGAGGGAGGGAGAAGGAGCGCCAGUCCAGCACAGCCCGGGAUCGAAACAAACAAAUCCAGGGACGAGAGGAGGCAGGGAUUCAAUCUUCCCUCUUCACCUUCCAUGAACCCCGGAGCAUCCUGUACAAGCCUCCCAGACAGCAGUGCACGACCAGAGUGAGUCUGACAACAUGGAUCCCCCUGAGGAGGGGAGGAGGAGGGCAACCCUCGGCUGAGUGAUUCAGAUCACACCGUCCGCUCAUUCCUGCCCAAACGUCUUACAUUAUGUGUUGUCGCUGUGCAGUGCACUUCUUACACUUGGCAUGUUUGAAGCAAUAUCAGUGGUGAUAUGUUUUGACAACAUUUCAAAACCCUUUGCUUUGUAAUGCUAAUCACACUGAUUCAAUAGGAAAACACGGACACAUGCUAAAUGGAUAGCUGACGGAUGGUUGAAGUCUUAAACACUGAUGGCUGGACUCUACGCUCGUGAAGAAUAAUAAUGUUAACUGGUUGUGAUGGAAGUGUUUUCAGGGUUUCACUGGUUGCUCUCGCCGCUCGGAUCCAGGGUUCAUUGUCAGGGCUGGAUCACAGUCUCCGUGUGCCCCAGACCUGCAGCUCACAUCUGGCUGCAGCGCGGCUCCUGCACCACUAAACGUGGCCAGGUGUUGGCCCACAGCGACGCUCACGUCUUCAGGCUUGCAGACGCUGAUGUAAUUGCUCUUUUCAUUGAACUGUAAAAAAUGAAAAGUCAGAUAGACACAGAACUGUGUGUGUGUGUAUGUGUGUGUCUGCAUCUGUUCAUGCCUGCGUCUGUUUGUGUGCCUGUGUGUGUUAUUUGUGUGUUUCUGUCUCUAUGUGUCAUGCGAGUCCUCUCCCCAGAGAAACAAGGCGGCCUUGCACUACAGACGGGAGGCCUGCUUGCUUUUAGAGAUGAUAUGAGGGCAAGAUCAAUUAAUGUAUUCAUGAUAUUUAUAUAUUUAAAUAUAUUUAUACGGGAGUAACCCAUAGGGGUGGUGGCCUCCCAUCUUCCUAAUGAUAUGCAAAUGGAGUGUAAUACUUAAUGUUUUGUUCUGUCUCAAGUUCAUCCCAAUGUGUUCAAUGGGGUUGUGAGUGACACGGUAGACAGUAGACAGAAGACGACUAGAUGACUGGCCUAUCCAAUAACGCCACAAAGUUAGAAAUGACAAAGGAGCUUCCCCAAAGCAAAUAGCAAAACAACCAUUUCUAAUGCAAAGUUAUAGUAAGAACAUAUUGAACUGUAAUUUGCGAGUUAAAUGUGCUUUAUAUUGACUGUAAUUAAGUCUCUUAUCGAUGGGUUGUCUCCUCUAAUAUGAAACGGCGCCAUAACACACACACGCGCACGCGCUCGCACGCGCACACACACACAGCCUCAUCAGGAUGCUGAAGCAAACCCUCCCAGGUUAGCCACAUAGGGAGAUAUAAUUAAUCGGAUCUAAUCUUCAUUUAACUGGAAACCACAGGGGUCUCAGACAGGUAAUGCUGCAUUCAUCGCCUGGUGAAUUAAGGUUGUUGUUGUUCGUUUUAAAAUGCAAGACUCUCAAAUCCAAAUUUCAUAGGGGGUUAUUAUAAUAAUCAUUUAAAAAUAAGCUAUUGGCUCCAAAGUCAAACAUCAAAAUAUCCAAAAGGGGUUUAAAAGUGUAAACGUUGAAUAGGUAUUAGUUUGUGGGACACAGUAUCGUCUUAGAGUGCUGCCCGUGAUGAAUGUCCUCUUGGUGAGACUGAGCUGUUGUAGUGUUAGUGUACAGUACAGUAGCUACAGUAUGUGACAAGGUGAGAACAGGUUGGCUCCCCAGCCUGGUCCCAGAUCUGUUCGUGCUGUCUGACCAAUAAAGGGCCAUAAGAGUUGACAAAACAGCACAAACAGAUCUGGAAACAGAUCAUUUUACUGGAGCACAGGUUAACCACAUCUACAUUCCUCUGUCGCCAUGACACUGGCAGGAAAUAAGCGCCGAACAGAAACAGAGCUAGAACAGACUCUGUUCUCUAUUGGUCUGUCCAAAAUGGCACCCUAUUCCCUACAUAGUGCACUACUUUUCAAAAGUAGUGCACUAAACUCCAGUAUUCGGGGGCCUAAUUUGUGUCACACUUUUGGCCCAGCCCCAGCUACCACACCUGACUCCAAUAAUCAACUAAUCGUGAUAUUCCAUUUUAGAAUGCAGUUCGUUUAAUGAGAUGUGUUGGCUAGUGAUGGUAAAAAGUGACACCACUCUGGCCCCCGAGGGCUGGAGUUGCCCAUCCCUGAUACAGGGAGUAUCAGACACAACCCGGAACAGAUGCUGCUCUCUGAGCUGUGUGAAUGGCGGCAGCACUGCAGAUUAGCAUCAGCCAGCAGUCAUUUGUAAUGUCAACGUGGUCAUUGAGGAUGUUUUCCAAAGAGCCCCCUCUGCCUUCUGAUAAGAUUUGUCCAGACUGUUUUUCAGUUCUGUUCUGUUUAACGUCCUCUUCCAUUUCUAGGAACACGUGAGCAAAGGUACUGUAAUUAACAAAAAACAUGUUUUUGCUGAAUCAGCCGAGGAUAUGAAUAUUUACCUCAUUGAGUUGUUCCCUUAAUAUUAAUACAUUUUUCAGUUUGCACUGAAAUAAGUAUGUAUGAUUAAACCUCAAAGUUAUUUUGCAAGUAUAUUUUUUAAUUAUGGUUAAUAUCAUAUUUAUUGUAUUGAUUUGGCAAGCUGAUUGGUGAUUUAUCGUUUACCUUCUCAUAUCCUAAUCCUCUUUAGUAAUGCUGACAUUUGGAGAAUUCUUGAUUUACAUAAUUAGACAUCUUUGAUCUGAGAUUUGUGAAAUCCCCUCUUUCUCCCAUCCUGCCUUGUUUCUUUCCACAUCUCACAACCUUCACAUUGAUUCUGUGAGUCCUUGGCUUAGAUUUGACAUUUGAAA